GUUCAGUCUAUGUUGAAAGAGCUUGGAGUAAAGAGCAAGCAAGCUCCAUGUCUGUGGUGUGACAAUCUUGGAGCUACUUAUCUUUCUGCUAAUCCUGUGUUCCAUGCCAGAACAAAGCACAUAGAGAUAGACUUUCAUUUUGUCAGAGAAAGAGUUGCUCAAAAGCAACUUGAUAUUCGAUUUGUGCAUUCAAAGGAUCAGAUUGCAGAUGGAUUUACAAAGCCUUUGCCCUCAAGAAGUUUUGAAGAAUUCAAGCAUAAUCUCAACUUAAUGAAGCUGUGAUUACGGGAGGGUGUUAAACAUAAUGUGGUUGCACCACCCGGCGCAUGAGGUAGUUAGGAUAGAUAGAUAGAGAUAGAUUAUUUUCCUUCUUCUCCAAGUUCUAUCUCUUCCUUGAAUAUCUCUCUCUCUCUUUUGUAAUCUGAACAAUGUAUGCGCUAUGGUUGGGAGGUGCGCCCCAACUCCAUAUAAACACGAACCCGUCGGCCCCAACAGGCUAAGACGUUUCCAGCUAUCGCGCAAGAAACACCGCAGCGCAUGGACAAGAGAAUUUUGUUUCCCUUUCUCAAUGUUCUUUCCUGAAAUUCUUCUCUGAAAACGGGGAUGAAUGGCUAAUGGUCAUAGCCCGCGUCAAUGAGUCCAUUCUCUCGUACGACUAUCCUAAACAGAUGGUAAACUGAUCUAGGCAGGAUAUACAGAAGAUGGCGUAAAAUAGCAUCUCUUUUUAACAUUGACAUAAAGCUUGUUUCGCUAAAUAUCCCAUGAGAACCAUGAUGUGUGAGACUGUUCUUCUGUGACUUUGACAAGUUGUCUUUGCACUUUUUGGAGCAUAUGGGGGAUAACUUAUUCUUCUGUACUUCCAAUGGAAAGUUAGGAGGAUGACCAAGUGGAUAGACUAGUUAAUUGAAGAGAUAAUGGUAGCAAAGCGCACCGUAUUUUGGAUAAAACAUGUUGCCUUGAUCUUGGGCAGAACUCCUUGUUGCUAUGUCUAGGGACUUGAUAUGUAUAUUUACAUGCUUAUCCAUCCAUAGUCCUUUGCAUCACAGAUCUUACUGAAAGAGGCUCCUGAUUGGAUCAAAAUGCUAACACUACAUACACAUUCAUACAAAACUGAAUUGUCAGAUUUUAAUGAGUGUCAUCUGUGUAGAAAAAGAGAGGGUACUCAUGGAGGAGAGGAUUUACACCCAAAAGACAGGUGCAGUCAAAUACUGAUUUCCUUUUCACCGCUUUACCGGGCGAGGUUACAAUGGAUAGCCAACUUAGUUCGCACAAAAGGUUGCAGCACCAUUUUUUAGAUGUAAAGUGGUUCCCCUGCCCCCAUUGAACAAAGCGAAGCAACAUAGUGACUGAUACAAAAGCGUAGGAAAGCAGAGUGCUUCCUAGAGAAGUAACAGGAACAACGCAGAAAUUUCAGUGAGAAGCAGAGUUCAAUGGGUUGAACUUCAUUCAGGGGAGCAGGUGAUCAGAGACCGGGAGGAUAAUCUUUCCAUUAUGUCAAAAAAGGGGGAAAACCCUGAGAUAAUUUUCUGUGGUGUCUAUGCUCUUACAAGAGAAACCUGCAUUGCUGCUCUGAAGAAAAUAGCUCCCACUGAUAGCUAGCUGCAAACCAAGGAACCAAUCAAUCACCUGUUGCUUCACAGAGUGUGCACAAAUAUCUUCCAACAAGGCCUCUUUAUCAGUUGAUGCGGCAGGUUGUUUCUAGCUAUCUUAUACCUUCACUUGAUUGAGAGUUGAUGCUACUGACAUCUACUCCGUACCUGUAUCUAUCUAUGGUCGCAUUCUCUCCGAACAUAUCAUGGCGAAUCGACGAUGCCGAGAGACCUGGCAACUGUUCAUAGUCCUGGGAAACAACCAACGGUCGCCAUGGAUGCAGGCCUCCCUCUCACUUUAUUCAGGAUAACAUAUCCUUCAGAAAGUUAAUUCACCAGAAAUGAAGCCCCCAGAGACAUUGAUAGGGACACUCUACUUCUCAGCAUGUAUUUUUUUUUCUCCGCGCACUUAUCUCAUUCAAAUUCAAGAAUUCUUUUCUUGGAAAUUAAUGGGAUAGAGAGAUAGAGGUUGAGUUGUUGGGCUAAAAAAUGGCAACUAGUUUGCUAUGCAAUGAACAUAACGGAGCAGACAGGAGCCCUGGUUCGACGGAUCUGUGCUAGCAGGCCGGCCACAGGUGAGCCAAACAUGUCACUGCUUCUGUGUCUGUCUGUUACUACAGUUUCGUUAUCUUGAUAGCACUAAUAAAAGCAAAAGGUGCGUGUAUCAUUGUACAUUCACUCAUUUGUCAAAUUGUAUACAUGAUAGCAUAACAAUUCAGAUACCAUAAAUAGAUGUCUCUUGGUGUUGUGAAAAACGCUCAGAGUGUGCUGAUUAUUC